rnacentral:lncRNA from 1 species
GAAAGAAUAAGGAGGGAGAGCAUCAGAGGGAGAGGGAGAAGCAGGCUCCCUGCUGAGCAGAGCCCAACAUGGAGUUGAUUUCAGGACCCUGGGGUCAUGACCUGAGCUGAAGGCAGAUGCUUAACCGACUGAGCCACUUGGCCACCUGUCUUGAUGAUUUUUAUACCCCGCCUCUUAGUCCCUUGCCCUCUUUUCCAACAGUUCUUUAUUUUACCUCAACCACCCAUCUAAUGGCCAUAUCCUGGACCUUGUCAUUACCAGUUACUAAAAUCCUCCAAAAUCCCAAUUUCAGGGGUCCUUCUCCUGGAUCCCUUCUUCCUGUUUAUAAGCUAUAGCUUACAACUCUGGGUAUUCUUAUUGCAACACUUUUUUUUUUUUUUAAUCUCAUUAGGAACUAUGAGUCAUUGGAAUUUUUCAUCUUUUCUUUGUUGUUCAUUCUCCUCAUGUCCCCACAUCCGUCUAUGCUCUGCUUAGCUUUCAUAGAAAACUAUUCCUAGCCUUUUACAUACUUAUAUAAACUUCCUUGUCCCACUUUUCCUCCUUUGAUCUACUCAAGUAAAACCCUAAUCCUAGUUUUAUCUAUCUCUCUCUCUCUCCUUCUUUCUCCCUCUUUCUCUCUCAUGAUCUGCAUGCAUAUGCCUGAGCCCGGCUGGAAAAAAGGAGGUUCUCUACCAUGAUUACUGGUCUCACUUUACAUCAUGAUGAUUCCCCUCAAGUGCGACUUUAGUGCUACUGUACAGCCUAUUGGAUUUCCCUGGUCUAUUCUUUCUCUGGCUCCCCUGGAGAACCAGUUUGUGCAUUGUCGCUCCUCUCUCCUAAGGAGUGUUUACCCAGCUGAUAACUUUGCUUGCUCUUUCACUGAAAACAGAAGCAAACAAAAGAAAACUAAAAAUGCUGCUACCACACUAUCUUCCAAUGGAGUUAGUCAGGUCAGCUUACAAAUAGUGGUAAGCGUACAAUGCUUCUCAUCCUGUGAGGAAAAAAAAAAAAAAAGAGGGAAAGCUCUUGACUCCAUUUCCUUUUCAGGCUUUCAGCCCCAGCCCCUGACACCUAACAGACCCUCCCAGCCAUGCUGCUGUGAAUAAACAUCUGAGGGAAACCUGCGUCCUUGCCAAGCAUGUGCAGGUUCGAGAGAGAAAUCCGAUCUCCCUCCUUCAAUCGAAUGCCAUCUGAAGGCCCUCUUCUGAAAAUGUGCCGUUUGGACUGGUUGUAUUCAAGCUGACACUGCAAAUUCGUAACAGCUCCGGGCCCUGCUACAACGCAGCAUGACGGUGCUGGGUAACCCCCACUGUAA